rnacentral:rRNA from 1 species
UACGGAGGGGGCAAGCGUUGUUCGGAUUUACUGGGCGUAAAGGGUGUGUAGGCGGCUGGAUAAGUCUGGCGUGAAAUCUUCACCGCUUAACGGGAAGGGGUCGCUGGAAACUGUUCAGCUUGAGUAUGGUAGAGGCAAGCGGAAUUCCUGGUGUAGCGGUGGAAUGUGUAGAUAUCAGGAGGAACACCUGCGGUGUAGACGGCUUACUGGACCAUAACUGACGCUGAGGCACGAAAGCGUGGGUAGCAAACAGG